CGAGAUACCAUAUUACUUUUGAAAAAUAAAAAAGCAAUCUUUUUUCGCAUAUAACGUAAAAUUCACUCCAAUCCUUUCGGAGCAUGUUCAACUGCGAUCUAGCGGCACUCCCAGUUACGGUGAAUUUCUAAAGAAUAAAAAGAAUCACGUUUUGAUGGUGUAAUCUUGUCAUCGUGUCAAAGUAGUAAUAUGAAUUCAAACCACAUUCUAUCACGAAAGUACAGUGGUUUUUGGAUAAAGAACUUAUACAGAUGUAAUGAACGCACAUAUUCAUGAAUACGGCCGUGAGGAACAACAUAAUCUCUAUGUUGCAUCCUCAAUUUGCCACAUGGAUAAACACGCACACGCGAUACGGACACUCACCACUAACGUAUAAGAUCAUGCAUCGCGAUUGUUGCGGAAUGGUUGUUCACUCUGCGAACGAACCGUCGUGAUGCUACGCAGGAUUUUAUAGACGCUCGUACCGGGAUUCGAUCAGAACUAACAUUCUUAUUUUCCUAUUUAUCUCCAUUUCUUCGUUAUUAUUAACGAAGGUCAGUUAAAAAAAUGAAGAAAUAAUUAAUCUUAAUUAA